AUGGUAUGGAGUUCCUGCUUUACGCCAUUGACAGAGUUCACCGACAGCCUUGAUCACCAGAUUAGGUUCCCCUCGUGUUCUUAUCGGGCAACGGAGCUGCCCCUGCAGUUCCUGCUGACUCUAAUGCUGGGUCUGGUUGCGCUGAAAAGGUCGGGGACGAUGGCGCAGGUAGAGCGCGUGAAGGAGUGUGCCGUCGCCGGGACGCAUCUCCGACAAGAUCGGCGCAGUCGACUCGCAGAGUCAAUCCAGAAGCACCUGGCUGGCCAAAAAGGAACUCGACUCUAUACCUCAAAGCCACGGAAGUCGUGCGGAUGGGCGAUGCGAGUGCAGAAUCUUUUGAUCACAUGUUUGUUGGUCUCUGAAGCUCUGCUUGUGAGUGGCGCACCUUUGGUAGAGAAGAGGGAUGGUUUGGGUUUUGAGGACUGUAUGGCAGGUCUGGCAACUGGGAGAAUGGAUGGCAAUGGCGAAGUCGCAUUUGUUGGGGACAACGGUGCUGACCAGUGCCAUAGUGGUGGGCACUCAUUCAGUGUGAAUACCCUUCAGGGUCUUGCAGCUCCAGAUAAACAUAGAGGGUCACAAAAGAACAACAUACCUGGAAAGAGGGGAGUAAGGCCCCAUACGAAGGUCUGA
rnacentral:rRNA from 1 species